CUCUCUCUCUCUCUCGCAUGCUUGGUCACUUCCCGCCUCUCUAGUUUCCCUCAAAUCGUCGACCCUAACCGUAACCUUCUAGCUGCCGGCGAGGGUCGCCGAUGCUUUGAUAGCCUUCAAUUUUUUGCUACUUGUCCAGAGUUGCAACUUCAAAGUGUUCAUAGAAAAUGGCCUAUGGUGAGAUAUUCAGCCCCUCGUUUGUGACAAUGGAACUGGAAUGGUGAAGGCUGGUUUUGCCCGUGAUGAUGCUCCUGCAGAUUCAAUCCAACAAUAUGCUUAGAUUGCCAUAGAGGUAUUCAUUUAAAUUAAUUUUGUUUCUCCACAAUAGGUAUUGUUUAAAUGCUGUUGUAUUAUCUCUCUUUGUAGCACAAGGCAAUUGGUAUCCCUUUUGAGAAUUAUACGAGAAUAGUAUUGAUUUGGUUGUGAUAGACAUCGAUAACAGAUGGAGUGUGCUUGUGGUUCUAUUUAAUAUCCAUGAAUCUAUAUGGUACUUAUCCUUGUGAGUGUACGGAAUGAAAUACCCAAUGUUUUAUGAAAGCCACCUGCCUUUUGGACAUACGUGAUUUUGUACACGUGUUCAUUUCAGUAGUUAAGUUGGAUUGUCCAUAUUUUUGGGAUCGUUUCCUAUUACCUUUUCCAAUUUUUGAGUUCCUCUUACGUGUAAUUAAAUAAUGCACUUGUUAUGUUGUUUCGAACUUCAAAAGUAAGGAAUUGUAGGAGUAUGCUUGCAACUUCUUGUAA